GGGGGGCUGAUCCCUCUGCCUCAGGUGAAGAGAAAGAGCCAACGGGAGAUCUGCAGGAAGCAGACAUCGCCUGGGGUUGGCACAGACAGACCAGAGAAUCUGUACCAUGAGCAGCUGCCGGCGCCCAAGGAGCCCCAGUGACUCCUGCCCAGAAGGGACCAGCGGCCCUGUUGGAGACAGCAGGCCACACGGGACACAAGGCAACCUCCCCAAACGGCAGAGACUGCAGCAGGGUCCCAGGCCAGGUGCAGAAGCUGCCCAGGAAUGGCGGCCGUGUCCAUGCCAUGCUGUAGCGGUGCCCCGUGGAAGCUCGAGGGGCCCACAGAGUGCCAGCGCCCAGAUGAUCGUGGUGGUCUUGGAAGCGGGAACAGAGCUGCAACUUCGCCUGGGAGCUGAGGGCUUGGUGCUGGCCCCACAGACAGCCCUGCAGCUCACGCUGGGCCAUGUGGUGGUCGUGGUGGUCCCUGAGCACGUCCUGACAGCAGCAGAGGGGCUCUGGUUCCCUGCCCAGGCCCUCUGGCUCCUGCUCACAGGUGCUGACCCCACCUGGGAGAUCAGCAUGGAAGACGGGUCUGCCGUUCCCCAGGGAGCAGACAGGGCGGCUGGUGCUCCCCACGGCCCCCAGCCACCUUCGGCACGCCCAGCCAAUGCAGCGCCAGGAGCCCGCUCCUCUGGCCACCCAAACACCCUCUUCCUCACCCCUCGCUACAGCUACAGAGCCGCCGCCCCUCGGGGCUCCUCCCACAUGCCCAAGCCUCACCCGGAGAGGCAUCCUCUGCCAGCUGAGUUCCAGUUGAGUCUCCAUGGCCUGGAACCCCUGGCCUGCUCUGCCCUCAGACCUCUGCCUCCCUCUCCCUCUCCCAGCCCAGGGCCCAGAGCCCCUCCCAUCAAGGCCCGCCCCAGGCCAGGCUGCAAGGCACGCAGAUGUCUCUUCCAACACUGAUGCCCCCCACCCCCGGGAGCCCUCAGGCCCCACACAAACUGCAGACAAGCUGACAGCAAGACCAUGGACACCUGCCCCUUCUGGGAUUGCCGCCUCCCUGACCUCACGCCCCGCUGAACGAGGGGGACACUGUGGGUGUGGGGGGCUGUGGAGAAAUGCCGUGGGCUCUCGCCAGACUGUCACCA
rnacentral:lncRNA from 1 species